GGCGGCCCAACAAUUCCAGUACUUUUGGGAAGACUUGAUUCAACGCAACCUGAUCCAGAAGGCAAGCUACCUCCAGAAAUCCUCAGUGCCUCGGGUUUAAAAGAAUGCUUCAAAAGAAAAGGAUUUUCGACUCAGGAGCUUGUUGCUUUAUCUGGGGCACAUACAAUAGGGAGUAAAGGCUU